AACGUAGGUACCGAGCGUUAUCCGGAUUUACUGGGCGUAAAGCGCGUUCAGGCGGUUUGGCAAGUCGGGCAUGAAAUCUCUCGGCUCAACCGGGAGAGGUUGUCCGAUACUUCCAGACUUGAGGGCAGUAGAGGGUGGUGGCAUUCCGGGUGUAGUGGUGAAAUGCGUAGAUAUCCGGAGGAACACCAGUGGCGAAAGCGGCCACCUGGACUGCACCUGACGCUGACACGCGAAAGCUAGGGGAGCGAACGGG
rnacentral:rRNA from 1 species